rnacentral:rRNA from 1 species
CCUACGGGUGGCAGCAGUGGGGGAUAUUGCACAAUGGGGGAAACCCUGAUGCAGCGAUGCCGCGUGAAUGAAGACGGCCUUCGGGUUGUAAAGUUCUGUCGCAGGGGACGAAAAUGACGGUACCCUGCAAGAAAGCUCCGGCUAACUACGUGCCAGCAGCCGCGGUAAUACGUAGGGAGCAAGCGUUGUCCGGAUUUACUGGGUAUAAAGGGUGCGUAGGCGGCUUUGCAAGUCAGAAGUGAAAUCCAUGGGCUUAACCCAUGAACUGCUUUUGAAACUGCAGAGCUUGAGUGGAGUAGAGGUAGGCGGAAUUCCCGGUGUAGCGGUGAAAUGCGUAGAGAUCGGGAGGAACACCAGUGGCGAAGGCGGCCUACUGGGCUCUAACUGACGCUGAGGCACGAAAGCGUGGGUAGCAAACAGGAUUAGAUACCCCAGUAGUC